rnacentral:rRNA from 1 species
UACGGGGGGAGCAAGCGUUGUUCGGAUUUACUGGGCGUAAAGGGCGCGUAGGCGGCCCCCGCAAGUCGACUGUGAAAUCUCCGGGCUUAACCCGGAAAGGUCAGCCGAUACUGCGGGGCUAGAGUGCAGAAGGGGCAACUGGAAUUCUCGGUGUAGCGGUGAAAUGCGUAGAUAUCGAGAGGAACACCUGCGGCGAAGGCGGGUUGCUGGGCUGACACUGACGCUGAUGCGCGAAAGCUAGGGGAGCGAACGGG